AACGAACGCUGGCGGCAGGCUUAACACAUGCAAGUCGAACGAGAUCUUCGGAUCUAGUGGCAGACGGGUGAGGAACACGUGGGAACAUCCCUUUCAGUUCGGAAUAACGUUGGGAAACUAACGCUAAUACCGGAUACGUCCUUCGGGAGAAAGAUUUAUCGCUGAAAGAUUGGCCCGCGUCUGAUUAGCUAGUUGGAGAGGUAAUGGCUCACCAAGGCUACGAUCAGUAGCUGAUCUGAGAGGAUGAUCAGCCACAUGGGGACUGAGACACGGCCCAAACUCCUACGGGAGGCAGAAGUGGGGAAUAUUUGACAAUGGGCGCAAGCCUGAUCCAGCCAUGCCGCGUGAGUGAUGACGGCCUUCGGGUUGUAAAGCUCUUUUGUCAGGGAAGAUAAUGACUGUACCGGAAGAAUAAGCCCCGGCAAACUUCGUGCCAGCAGCCGCCGUAA
rnacentral:rRNA from 1 species